rnacentral:rRNA from 1 species
UUUUGGACAAUGGGCGCAAGCCUGAUCCAGCCAUUCCGCGUGAGUGGAGAAGGCCUUCGGGUUGUAAAGCUCUUUCCCCCCCCCAACAAAACUUAGGCGCUAAUAUCGCUUGAGGUUGACGGUACCUCGAUAAGAAGCACCGGCUAACUACGUGCCAGCAGCCGCGGUAAUACGUAGGGUGCGAGCGUUAAUCGGAAUUACUGGGCGUAAAGCGUGCGCAGGCGGUUACGUAAGACAGUUGUGAAAUCCCCGGGCUCAACCUGGGAACUGCAUCUGUGACUGCAUAGCUAGAGUACGGUAGAGGGGGAUGGAAUUCCGCGUGUAGCAGUGAAAUGCGUAGAUAUGCGGAGGAACACCGAGGCGAAGGCAAUCCCCGAUCCAUACUACGCUCAGCACGAGG